CCUACGGGAGGCAGCAGUGGGGAAUAUUGCACAAUGGGGGAAACCCUGAUGCAGCGACGCCGCGUGAGUGAAGAAGUAUUUCGGUAUGUAAAGCCCUAUUAGCCGGGAAGAAAAUGACGGUACCUGAUUAAGAAGCCCCGGCUCACAACGUGCCAGCAGCCGCGGUAAUACGUAGGGGGCCAGCGUUAUCCGGAUUUACUGGGUGUAAAGGGGGCGUAGACGGCAGCACAAGUCUGGAGGGAAAUGCCGGGGCUUAACCCCGGAACUGCUUUGGAAACUGGGCAGCUAGAGUGAGGGAGAGGUAAGUGGAAUUCGUGGUGUAGCGGUGAAAUGCGUAGAUAUUAGGAGGAACACCAGUGGCGAAGGCGGCUUACUGGACUGUAACUGACGUUGAGGCUCGAAAGCGUGGGGAGCAAACAGGAUUAGAUACCCCAGUAGUC
rnacentral:rRNA from 1 species